rnacentral:misc_RNA from 1 species
CUGGAAAUGUAUUCGAGGUUUGAAGCUGGCUCUUUCGGGAGUAUUGUGCUCGCCUUGAUUCCAAUCCAUUUCACACCUGUGCACAUAUUGUAGUUUUUGGGAUCCAAGGGGGUUUGUUCAUAUACAUACCCUUUUGUUCCUGACUCUACGUAUUUUUACAUAUACUCUAUUAUAUGUUUAGAAUGUUAUUACUUGCAAUAAAACGCAUUUAAAAA